rnacentral:rRNA from 1 species
UGCAGUCGAGCGGUAACAGGCGUAGCAAUACGUGCUGACGAGCGGCGAACGGGUGAGCAAUGCUUCGGAAUCUGCCCAAUGGUGGGGAAUAACCAGUCGAAAGAUUGGCUAAUACCGCAUACGCCCUACGGGGGAAAGCGGGGGUCGCAAGACCUCGCGUCGAUGGAUGAGCCGAAGUCGGAUUAGCUAGUUGGUAGGGUAACGGCCUACCAAGGCGACGAUCCGUAGCUGGUCUGAGAGGACGACCAGCCACACUGGGGCUGAGACACGGCCCAGACUCCUACGGGAGGCAGCAGUGGGGAAUAUUGGACAAUGGGGGCAACCCUGAUCCAGCGACGCCGCGUGUGUGAAGAAGGCCUGCGGGUUGUAAAGCACUUUUAGUGGGGAUGAAAAGCACAUCGCUAAUACCGGUGUGUCUUGACCUAACCCAAAGAAAAAGCACCGGCUAACUCUGUGCCAGCAGCCGCGGUAAUACAGAGGGUGCGAGCGUUAAUCGGAAUUACUGGGCGUAAAGCGUGCGUAGACGGUUAUUUAAGUCGGGUGUGAAAGCCCCGGGCUCAACCUGGGAAUUGCAUUCGAGACUGAAUAGCUAGGGUACGGUAGAGGGAAGUGGAAUUUCCGGUGUAGCGGUGAAAUGCGUAGAUAUCGGAAGGAACAUCAGUGGCGAAAGCGACUUCCUGGACCAGUACCGACGUUCAGGCACGAAAGCGUGGGGAGCAAACAGGAUUAGAUACCCUGGUAGUCCACGCCAUAAACGAUGAGGACUAGACGUUGGAAGGGUAAGCCUUUCAGUGUCGUAGCUAACGCGCUAAGUCCUCCGCCUGGGGAGUACGGCCGCAAGGUUGAAACUCAGAGGAAUUGACGGGGACCCGCACAAGCGGUGGAGCAUGUGGUUUAAUUCGAUGCAACGCGAAGAACCUUACCUGGUCUU